rnacentral:lncRNA from 1 species
GCGUCUUCAUUCUUGAAGUCGGUGAGACCGAGAACCCUCCAAUUGCAGACACAAUAUUACAUGAGAUGCCGUUUGAAGCUUUCACCUGGAGUUGGCACAUCUCUGAAACUCCAAACACAUAACAAUAAUAAGCAUUUAGUCCCCAUCAUUUUGCCUUACCUUACUUCCUGGUGGGCAGCAUUGCAGUUUUUUCAAAAUCCAGGCACGGAUUGGGCUUACUGCACACUUCAGCGUAGGAGCACGUCGGUUCACCAUUAGAGUAACGGAUCUCAGGGGUCAAAGUUGUGGACUCAAUCGUAGAGGAAACCACUGGGCUCACCAAGAGAAUGAUCGUUUCCGGCCCCUUUCUACAUAACUUCAUGCAACACGGAGACUCCUGAAAGUUGUAGAUGAGUUGGAUUUCUGAAA